GACGAACGCUGGCGGCGUGCUUAACACAUGCAAGUCGAACGGAAAGGACCUGCUUUUGUGGGGUGCUCGAGUGGCGAACGGGUGAGUAACACGUGAGUAACCUGCCCUUGACUUUGGGAUAACUUCAGGAAACUGGGGCUAAUACCGGAUAGGAGCUCCUGCUGCAUGGUGGGGGUUGGAAAGUUUCGGCGGUUGGGGAUGGACUCGCGGCUCAUCAGCUUGUUGGUGGGGUAGUGGCUUACCAAGGCUUUGACGGGUAGCCGGCCUGAGCGGGUGACCGGCCACAUUGGGACUGAGAUACGGCCCAGACUCCUACGGGAGGCAGCAGUGGGGUAUAUUGCACUAUGGGCGGAAGCCUGAUGCAGCAACGCCGCGUGCGGGAUGACGACCUUCGUUUUGUAUACCGCUUUCGCCUGUGACGAAGCGUUAGUGACGGUAAUGGGUAAAGAAGCACCGGCUAACUACGUG
rnacentral:rRNA from 1 species